ACCCACUGGCACGGUCCUGGUGUGAAGCGAGGGAGGGAGAGUGGGAGGGAGAGAAACAGCGAGAGAGAGAGAGAGAGAGAGAGAGAGAGAGAGAGAGAAAGAUGCAAGAAAGAGAACGUCAGAGACAGGAAAAAGGAAGAGACAACAAGUUCAUCACUGUGAGAACUUGAAAAAGCCAACUGCACUUUUGACAAAAGCAUUUUUAUUAAUGAUACCAGUCAAAGGACUGCGUUUAUUUGUUUGAUCCUUUGUUAUUAGAUCAUGUGCUGAGCUCUACACUGGUGCCUAUCAUCACAAUGUGUGUUGGGAUCUAUUUCUGACAUUGUUCAACAGAAUAGCCGAGGGAGGGAAUAGACUAGAAGAAGCUAUCAGGCUGUCCACACCACGUCCCUCCACCCUGGAUAACAUGGAGCUGCUUUAUGUAUUUGUGGCUUUGCUCUUCAGUACCAAGUCCUCCGAUGGAGUCACAGUACUGCAGAAACGGCCAGAGAUGUUCAUGGGGACUGAGUCCGAAACCCUGCACUGUGAACACGACGAUGCUAACCACGACUAUAUGUACUGGUACAGGCAGGACAGAGGCAGAGGAAUGCGUAUGAUCGCGUAUUCUAUCAACAAAGGCAAUGUGAACAUAGAGCCGCCCUUCAACGCAUCCAAAUACAUGAUGGAGCGUCCUGAAGUGAAGAAGUCGUCUCUGCAGAUAAAGGAUUUGGCGGCCGGGGACUCGGCUGUGUAUUUCUGCGCCUCUAGUAUUGCACGCUAACCCAGAACAGCGACGCUACACGACAAUAACCCCUAUUAACCACAUACUGUACACCCUGCUGGAGGCAGGGGCCUCCUCCCGCUGUACAGCUGCUGAGCUCACUAACGGCACAGGCCUCCGUGCUGCACCCGUCCCUCCGCUGGUUCCACCCCAAAUUCAGCUCAGCUCAGUUCAAUUCAGGUCAAGUUUUGUCUGAAGGUGCAAGGGUUAACAGUGCUAAACGUGCUAGGAGAAUCUUAUUAUGUGGUGUCUCCUGACAAUGUAAAA